GGAGAUGUAGCUUAGUGGUAGAGUGUGUACUUAGCGCGUGCAGGGACCCGGGUUUAAUCUCCAGCACCCCCA
rnacentral:tRNA from 1 species